rnacentral:rRNA from 1 species
UACAGAGGGUGCGAGCGUUAAUCGGAAUUACUGGGCGUAAAGCGCACGUAGGUGGCGACGUAAGUCGGGUGUGAAAGCCCCGGGCUCAACCUGGGAAUUGCAUUCGAGACUGCAUUGCUGGAGUACGGAAGAGGAAGGCGGAAUUCCCGGUGUAGCGGUGAAAUGCGUAGAUAUCCGAAGGAACAUCAGUGGCGAAAGCGGCUUCCUGGACCAGAACUGACGAUCAGGCUCGAAAGCGUGGGGAGCAAACAGG